UACAGAGGUCUCAAGCGUUGUUCGGAUUCAUUGGGCGUAAAGGGUGCGUAGGCGGCGCGGUAAGUCGGGUGUGAAAUCUUGGAGCUUAACUCCGAAACUGCAUUCGAUACUGCCGUGCUUGAGGACUGGAGAGGAGACUGGAAUUUACGGUGUAGCGGUGAAAUGCGUAGAUAUCGAGAGGAACACCUGCGGCGAAGGCGGGUUGCUGGGCUGACACUGACGCUGAGGCGCGAAAGCCAGGGGAGCGAACGGG
rnacentral:rRNA from 1 species